rnacentral:tRNA from 1 species
GCCUCUGUAGCUCAGUUGGUUAGAGCGCUGCACCAGAAUCGCAGGGCCGUGGGUUCAAUUCCUACCAGAGGAC